AGCAUAUUCUUAUUUUAUCUUUAAACUGGAAUAGACUUUUCAGAAUGAUAAUUCAAAGAUGAAAACAGGGAGUGACCACAUGGACCUAAUCUAUCAGGAGAGACCAGCCUCCUCUGUACCCAGCUGUGUGUCCAUGGAGAGUGACUGGUCUAUGGGACGACCUACCAAGUUCAAAGAGAGAAUCUUUUCAACUGAACACAGGUGUGUGGAUGGCCAGGUGUGUGGAUCUGCCAACCAUCUUGCUAAACGUUGAUCAGACACUCCUUUGUUUCUGCCCUGCAACAACAUUUGAACCAGUGUGAACAACCACAGGUUGAAAUCUGACUAAGGGUUCUGUUGUUGUUAACAUCCAGUGCAAAGCCAGGAAGUGUUGUGUUCAAAUCCCUCUUCCACUGGAGAUUUCUUCCUGCUGUAGUAAGCGAUAGGCCGUAGCUUACCUCCCGUCUCCUGACACUCCGCCGGCUCUCCCGUCUCCUGACCCUCCGCCGGCUCU